UACGGAGGGAGCUAGCGUUGUUCGGAAUUACUGGGCGUAAGCGCACGUAGGCGGCUUUGUAAGUUAGAGGUGAAAGCCCAGGGCUCAACCCUGGAAUUGCCUUUAAGACUGCAUCGCUUGAACAUCGGAGAAGGUAAGUGGAAUUCCGAGUGUAGAGGUGAAAUUCGUAGAUAUUCGGAAGAACACCAGUGGCGAAGGCGACUUACUGGACACAUAUUGACGCUGAGGUGCGAAAGCGUGGGGAGCAAACAGG
rnacentral:rRNA from 1 species